rnacentral:sRNA from 1 species
ACGCCUUUAUUACUGGUGCAAUCUCACGCGCUACAAUGAUAAAACGGAUGGCGAAAAAUACGCAGUGGACACGGGG